UGGGGAGACCAGGAUGGAUAGAUAAGAAG
rnacentral:piRNA from 1 species